AAUAAUGUUUCGCUGGAGAGCUUUCGAUUUACUGUCAAGUGAUAGUUUUAUAUUUAUUCAAAGAUUUGCUGAAUAUUUUUAGAAAUUAAACUUAAAAAAUAAUUUUUUUAAGCUGCGUUUGGUUAGAGGAAUAUUUCAAAACAAAACGGAAUAUCUCUCUUUAUCUGCCCAAACACAAUGCAAAAUGAGACAGCAAAAUUAUUCCGGACUUAACGGGUUGUUCCGAGAACAACCCGUUAAGUUUGUUCUCCCAAAUAUGGAGUAAAGGAAAGAGUUAUAACUCUUAUAUUAAAAUAAAAAAGAAAAAUAUGGUGACACGAAUUAAGGCUCCUUACCGAGGCAUCAUUGGAAGCGCCACUCUGAAGGUUUUUCAUUUUUUUCCUACUUAUGGUUAUUAUGUAUAAUAAAAACGGGUGUAGAGAAUUUGAAUCCCCAUCGAAACAGCUUAUAUCUUAAAAACUGGAAAUUCAAUGGGUCGGAUUCGGAAUAGAUUUUUAAAAAUCUGAACUCCGACCGAGCAUNUUUUUUUUUUGAGAGAGAUAGGUAGCAUGCUACCGGAUUUGUUUAUUUUAUUUAAAAAUAAACUUAGCUGAAAAUAUGAAUCUACUAGGAUUCGAAUUCGGAACCUCGAGUACUAACCACCAAGCCCUUUAAGAGUUUGGAUGCACACUGUUGAUUGAUUUCUAGUCUACGUUUGAUUAGGAAAUAUUUCCGUAAGAAGUUAGAUAG
rnacentral:lncRNA from 1 species